rnacentral:rRNA from 1 species
AACGUAGGUCACGAGCGUUGUCCGGAAUUACUGGGUGUAAAGGGAGCGCAGGCGGGUGAACAAGUUGGGAGUGAAAUCUAUGGGCUCAACCCAUAAACUGCUCUCAAAACUGUCCAUCUUGAGUAGUGCAGAGGUAGGCGGAAUUCCCGGUGUAGCGGUGGAAUGCGUAGAUAUCGGGAGGAACACCAGUGGCGAAGGCGGCCUACUGGGCACCAACUGACGCUGAGGCUCGAAAGUGUGGGUAGCAAACAGG